GGAAAAGUGUCUGAAUGGCUAAGGUGUGUAUUUUGAAAAUACAUUUUUAUAGGUUCAAAUCCUAUUUUUUCCG
rnacentral:tRNA from 1 species